rfam:Candidatus Buchananbacteria bacterium RIFCSPLOWO2_01_FTLL_46_12 rifcsplowo2_01_scaffold_12098, whole genome shotgun sequence.
GGGCCGGUAGUUCACCUGGUAGAACGCCACAUUUGCAAUGUGGAGGUAAGCGGUUCGACCCCGCUCCGGUCCA